UUUUGGGUUCCAUUCCAUGUCAGAAGAAGAGGCAUUUCUCUUGCUUGUCAAAGACAACUCAGGCAACUCUUGUUCCUGAAGAAGAAGAAGAGUUGCGGAAGCAGGGCAAGACUCAAGAGUCAAGAGAGAUACUAUUGGAUAGUGGCGGCUGCUGGCUAGUGGAAGAAGAAGGGACAUGACGUCACCAAGUACACCCUUGUUUUCUAGUAUUUUGUAUACAUAUCUCACUAGCUAGCUAGCUACUAAUUAAAAAUACGUAUGGCUAUUUCUUAUAUAUUAUGGUCUCCUUCAACAAUUUUUUUUUCAAUAAUAUAUAAAAACACGUUUCAAAAUACUAGUAAUAUGAUCAAACACAACAGGCUAGUAUCUAUAACAAAAUAGCAAGCGUUUAUAAUUUAAUGAAAGAAAUAAAAGAGAGGAGAAAUGGUGAGAUAAUUUACUGAGGUGAGUAGUAGUAGACUAGUAGUUCUAAAGAGAGAGAGAGAGAUUAGUUUGACAAAAAAAAAAAAAAAGAGAGAGAGAGAGAGAUUCGUGGGACGGCGGGGGAGCAUAGUUUCUCGUUUCAGACUGUGGUGUCUGUAUGUCAGAGUCAGAAUCAGAAUCAGAGUCAGACCAAACCUCUCUCUAUUCCUCACAUACGAAGAAUCCAUCAAAGCACACACACACAUCACACCAUAUACAUGUAUCUAUCUAUUAAUUUAAAUAUACAUAUAUACCUUCUUUAAAAGUGACAAAUUAUUUAUAUAAUUAAAAUUUUGUUUGCUUUUUUCAAAAACCAGCAGCUUUAAUUACCUUCCCACACACACUUCUCCUCUCUCUCUUUUUCUCUUUCUCUCUCUCCCAAACCUUUAGCUUUCUCCAUUUCUUCUUCAGAUCAGCUUCAAACUUCCAUAGCCAUGGACACUGCUAAAUGGCCUCAG